rnacentral:rRNA from 1 species
AUAGAAUCACUCAAACAUCUAGACAAUCGAGUCCCACCAACGUUAGCGAGCUAUCGAAAGCGGGGCAACCGUCAGAAGCCAGGUGAUAAGCCACGAGGGUAUCCGCUGCAAUCCUCAAUCCCGGUCACCACAUAGAUCAAGGUCUAUAACACUUUCCCGAAGGAAAGUCACAUUCCCUCAAAUUUUUUAUGAUAACCGAAAUUGAUGCUAACCUGCCAAGUAAGGAAGUGCACCGGAAAGUAUGCGAGAGAACCCACACACCAUCAAGUUGAUUCCUCACUAGCAUGACUG